AAGAUUCUCCAUUUUCAACCAGAUUGGAAGUUGUAGGUUAUUAAACUUGUAUUUUAAAUUUUUUCCAUUUUCGCCCCAUGGGUUAUUCCGAUAGCUCUGCUCAUGUCCAUUCUUGUCUUGACAUUUUUUUGUCAUGCAUAUGGAUAAUGAACUGAUUUUUGACCUACUUUAGAUGUAUUGAUUAUGGUCAUUGUCUUAGUCCAAACACUUCCAGUAGGUUAAGAAUGGAUAAUCUAAAAAAAAAAAAAAAAAAAAAAAAAGAAAUAAAAUGUUAUCUUAUUGAACUGUAUUUUUUGGAUAUAUAUCUUGUAAAAUUUUUGUUUUUUAAUGGUGAGUUUGUAAUGAAGCAUGAAAAUUUUAAAGAAUAUUUUGCAAAAGCAUGAGUUGAAGAAUAUUUUGGUGAAAAUACAUUGAUUGAUUGAUUUUUGGUGCUUAACACCUCUUUACAUACAAUUGGCCAUCAUGGCCCAUAGGUGAAAACUAAAGUACUCAAUAUGUUAUUGAAAUGUGUGGAGUUUUGUUAUUUAAUUAUUUUUUAAUUUUAAUUGUGCUAUAUUUUGUUUUUUUUGUUAAAUAUAGCAAGAAUGUGGAGUCCUAACAGUGUGAAAAUUUAGGUAAAGGGAAGUAAUACCCCUAUUUAACUCAUCGUAUUUUCUUUGAAAUUCCCUCAGUAAUAGGGAAUUUAACUUAUUAUGUACUUUAAUAUUGAUAUUUGUAUAAUUUUUUUUUUUAAAUAUCAGAUGUAUACUCGCUAAAAUAUACUAUUAUUUAGAGCUCUGUAAAAGAAAAAAAAUGUAAACAGAAGUCUAAAUAAUAGAUAUGUAGGGUGGGAGAAAUUAUGGGUCACUACAAAUCAUUUUGUAAAAUUUUCUAAAAAGCUGAUUAUUCAAAAAUGCAUCUUAUAUUUUUUUAUAUGUAUAAAUGUAUUAAGAAAAACAAAUGGACAAAAUAGAUAGAUGAUAAGAUGAGGACAGCCACCAUAACAGCCAGGAGAACAGCUCUAAGGAAGAUGGUCAAUUAAAUCUUCAACCAAGUCUGAGGUUUUACCAAGAGAAAUAUGUGGUUGUUGUAAUGACAAUGUUUUCAUGGUGUUGGGAGUAAGACUUGGAUAUCUGAUACUGUUAACAUGUUGGUUAGCAUCAGGUUUCCAUAGGGAUACUUCUUGGGGUAGUAAUCAGAGCUGAUUUAGUUGGAAGUGUAACUGUUGCUGCCUUGUUUGGUAAAAUCCUGCAAACCAUUGGAUGAACUGUUGCUAUAUUUUUAGUAGAAUCCG